AAGGGUAACACCGGCUACGGAUGGCCAUGCGGCGCAUUAGCUAGUUGGCGGGGUAACGGCCCACCAAGGCGACGAUGCGUAGGGGUUCUGAGAGGAAGGUCCCCCACACUGGUACUGAGACACGGACCAGACUCCUACGGGAGGCAGCAGUGAGGAAUAUUGGUCAAUGGGCGCGAGCCUGAACCAGCCAAGUCGCGUGAGGGAAGACGGUCCUAUGGAUUGUAAACCUCUUUUGUCGGGGAGCAAAAGACGCCACGCGUGGCGUUCCGAGAGUACCCGAAGAGAAAGCAUCGGCUAACUCCGUGCCAGCAGCCGCGGUAAUACGGAGGAUGCGAGCGUUAUCCGGAUUUAUUGGGUUUAAAGGGUGCGCAGGCGGAAGAUCAAGUCAGCGGUAAAAUUGAGAGGCUCAACCUCUUCGAGCCGUUGAAACUGGUUUUCUUGAGUGAGCGAGAAGUAUGCGGAAUGCGUGGUGUAUCGGUGAAAUGCAUAUAUAUCACACAGAACUCCGAUUGCGAA
rnacentral:rRNA from 1 species